rnacentral:rRNA from 1 species
UACGUAGGGUCCGAGCGUUGUCCGGAGUUACUGGGCGUAAAGCGCGCGUAGGCGGCUCGUCAAGUCUGGCGUGAAAGCCCCCGGCUCAACCGGGGAGGGUCGUCGGAGACUGGCGGGCUUGAGGGCGGUAGGGGCUGGUGGAAUUCCCGGUGUAGUGGUGAAAUGCGUAGAGAUCGGGAGGAACACCCGUGGCGAAGGCGGCCAGCUGGGCCGUCCCUGACGCUGAGGCGCGAAGGCGUGGGGAGCGAACGGG